rnacentral:rRNA from 1 species
UUGCUCUUCAACGAGGAAUUCCUAGUAAGCGCAAGUCAUCAGCUUGCGUUGAUUACGUCCCUGCCCUUUGUACACACCGCCCGUCGCUACUACCGAUUGAAUGGCUUAGUGAGCCCUUCGGAGUGGUCCAUUUGAGCCGGCAACGGCACGUUUGGACUGCAAAGUUGGGCAAACUUGGUCAUUUAGAGGAAGUAAAAGUCGUAACAAGGUUUCCGUAGGUGAACCUGCGGAAGGAUCAUUAGUGAUUAAAUUAAAGCUUAUCUGUAAAAAGGAUAGCUCUAAAUCUUCUAUUACAAACCACUGUUUAAAAAUGUUAUAAGAAUGUAUUUGUGAUUUUUAAAUCACAGAAAGCUUUUAUUUUUAAUAAAACUUUCAGCAACGGAUCUCUUGGUUCAGGCAUCGAUGAAGAACGCAGCGAAAUGCGAUAAGUAAUGUGAAUUGCAGAUACAGUGAAUCAUCGAAUCUUUGAACGCAAAUGGCGCUCUAUGGUAUUCCGUAGAGCACGUCUGUUUGAGCGUCGCGAACAUCUCCAAAAUUAACUUUUUUUUGUUAAUUGAGGGUUAUGAGGUUGUCUAUGCUAGCCAUAGACUCCCUUCAAAUUGAUUAGUAGGACUCUAUUGAAGGGUUAAUACUGUGUGUUAUAGUGGAUCAUAUCCAUCACCAGUCAGAGGUUUUUUUAUAAACCUUGCCUAACGAUAGUAGUUAGACUGCUUCUAACCGUCUUAACCGACAAAACCAUGAUCAAAUCGACCUCAAAUCAGAUGGGAUUACCCGCUGAACUUAAGCAUAUCAAUAAGCGGAGGA